UAGGGAAUCUUCGGCAAUGGACGGAAGUCUGACCGAGCAACGCCGCGUGAGUGAAGAAGGUUUUCGGAUCGUAAAGCUCUGUUGUAAGAGAAGAACGGGUGUGAGAGUGGAAAGUUCACACUGGGACGGUAUCUUACCAGAAAGGGACGGGUAACUACGUGCCACCAGCCGCCGCGGUCAUAGGUACGUACCGAUCGUUGUCCGGAUUUAUUGGGCGUAAAGCGAGCGCAGGCGGUUAGAUAAGUCUGAAGUUAAGGGCUGUGGCUUAACCAUAGUACGCUUUGGAAACUGUUUAACUUGAGUGCAAGAGGGGAGAGUGGAAUUCCAUGUGUAGCGGUGAAAUGCGUAGAUAUAUGGAGGAACACCGGUGGCGAAAGCGGCUCUCUGGCUUGUAACUGACGCUGAGGCUCGAAAGCGUGGGGGAGCAAACAGGAUUANAUACCCUGGUAGUCCACGCCGUAAACGAUGAGUGCUAGGUGUUAGACCCCUUUCCGGGGUUUAGUGCCGCAGCUAAACGCAUUAAGCACUCCGCCNUGGGGAGUACGACCGCAAGGNUG
rnacentral:rRNA from 1 species